UAUUUUUCAUUAAUUUUAGGUUUGAUUAUGGCCUGAAGUAAAAUUAAGAUGGUGUUAUCUAAUAGUGAUUCACUUAGUGGGCAAUGUUUUUCUACCCCGGCAGUUUGUCGUUUGUAAAGAUUUUGUUCCAGAAUAAUCGGCUAGACUUUAUAAGCUUGUACUCUAAUUGUUGUUAAUCUUGAAUUUUUAGGGUGUAACUUUUGAUUUUAUGGUGAAAUUGAAGAUUUUGUUUGUGUAUGUAUUUAAGAUUAUAAGAUUUAGCGAACGAACCAGAUUAGUACCUGGUUAGAUAAAAAUUAAAAGAGCAGGAGUAAAGUUGAAUUUAAACUGUAAUAAUAUUGGCAGGCUUUUAAAUUAUCUUUGGAGGCUGAGUAGUAAUUGAGAGCCCUCAUUUACAACUCUUAUUUUAGGCUCAUGUAUGAUCGUUUAUUUUAUUCUUAAGGAUUGUAAUUUUAGUUUUUAUCUGUUAAAAUAGAUAUAUACUUGGUUUAUAUAGGAGGCUAAUUUGGCCUACAAUGUUAUAUUUUUUGGAUAGUAUUAAUAGUUAGUACUUGAAAUUGUAAAAGACAGUAAAGCCUUUUUAAUGGGGGAUUGAAGUUUAUUUAAAAGCGGUACAAAUCAUCCAUCAAUUGCCUAUAGGGGAGUAAGUUGUAGUAAAGUAGAGGUAGGGGAACCUGUCUCUAAUAAUAUU
rnacentral:ncRNA from 1 species